UUAGCAAACAACUGGAUCCUUCUAGAGCUCGGGAGGCCUGGCCCCUUCCUUCUUAGUGGUGGCUGAGCUCCUGUCUUCAGAGCUGCCCGGAGGAGGGCCCUGCCUGAUUUCUGCAGGUCUCCCAGUGAGACCCCGCCCAGCCUGGCACUGAGGAGGUGCCCCAGAUGAAUUUAUUGAUGGGUAAACAAGAGCAGGGCAGGAACUGUGCUCAGGCUCCCAACCACGACGUUGACUCGACAGCCGACCAGAGUCAGGAGUUGAAGGCACCAACGCCAUUGUCCUUAAGGAGAAGAAAUGACCCUGGUGGAUACAACGAGAAGACAGCUGUCUGUGAACCAGGAAGAGGGCCUUCACCGAGAACCUGCCCAUGCUGCUACCCUGAUCUUGGACGUCCAGGCUCCAGAUCUGCGAGGAAUAAAUGUCUGCUGUUUAAGCCCCCCAGCCUGUGGUGUACUGGUAUCACGGGUGGCGCUGACUAUGACACAGAGACUGGGGGUCCAUUUGGUGGGAAUGUCAUUGCAUCCGUUGGGGAAUGGGAGGG